AAAGCACAAGCACACGCCGCGUAUAUAUAUGUAUGUAUGUAUAUAUAUGUGUAUUUAUAUAUAGUAUAUAUAUAAAUACACAUAUAUAUACACUCACACACACAUACACUGCGGUGUGUGUGUGUGUGCU
rnacentral:miRNA from 1 species